GGCGCUCGCUUUUGCGUCGCCCGCGGCAAUAUAUGGUAUGUAGGUACCACGACUGGGAUAUGGAGGAGCAUCCUCCGAUAUGUCUCCACAACCGCAGCAGCGUAAGGGAUAUCCUUUGGUGUGAAAAUUCACGGGAUGUCGUGGUAUCAACAUCGAAGCACAUGAACAUGGGGCUGUUCAACUCAGUAACCGAAGAAUUGAUCCGCUGGUUCUCGGAGGACGUCAAGUCCGGGAAGCCUCCAUUUUUCAGCGCCCUGUCCCUGUCUAUGAACCGAACGACAACGAGAUAAUCUCUGAGCUAUACAUCAGUGGACACUGGAGGGUAUAUCGGAAUGGGAGUGUGGGACUUAGAGACAGGCACGGGGAAACAUUCUAUAUGUUUAGAUGAUACCGAGGUCAGAAAUGCAACAACGAUGCAGUGAUAUCAACUGUCUGCUAAGGGUCAAUAAGCGGGAUCACUCAAUGAAAGUAGUCCUUGCAGUCUUUAAAAUCAUGAAUGUGAUGGAUAGCCUCAUGAAUGUGGGAUUCCUAGACUACCGGAACAUUCCAAAGGAACAGCCAUGGCCCAUUGGAUGGGCGUCGUCGGAGAAUACGGUUGCCGCCGAUCAUGAUCACCCCGAUGCGAUCCACCAUCAUAAAGGGCAACUCUUCGCCCAUACCAGAAAUAAUGGAUCCGUAUUCUCCAGUGGUGGUGGUGUCGAAGACUUGGUCCUCACGUCAAAGGUUCGGGCAAGUGAUUGUAAAGGUCCGAUAUGCGACAUGUCGAUCGGUGGAGAUCACCUUUUUUUCUUAUAUACUAAUCCGGAUGUAGUUAAGGUAUGGGAGUCUCCCGGUCCUCAGUUAGGCUUAGAUUGAACGAUUUCCUACUUAGCCGCCGGGGGCACUUCAACUUCUGGCCUUUUCUAGCCUAAAUCUUGAUAUAUAUAUUUAAUCAACCAAGCCUUCAAUUA